UUUUGAUGGGAGAGGAGGGCAUUUUGCCUCAAUCUAAUUUUGAAAGUUUAAUGUUGGUAAAAAAUAACAUGCCUAUAGAAAAAAAUUGGUACCUGCUUACCUGUUUUGACUAUAUAAUGUCUGAUGCGUAAGAAAUGACCUACAUUUACGUGCCUUCAACCAAAACAUACAACUAUCAAAAUAACAACAUCAAUAAUUCAAUCAUCAAGUGAUGUUAAGGCUUAUAAAAAACCAAAACAAAAAUUAUUUCAAACAAAUAUAAUAAAAAAUUAUUAAUGUGGAAUUAAAUUUUAUUUAAAAAAAAUAUUUAAUUUAUUUCACAAUAAACAUAUUCAAAAUCAAAAUGCCACAACUGAAAUGAUUGCAAGAAAGCAAUAAAAAUGUAUUUGUUUACAAUCAGAAUGACAUGAAACAAAUAAUUUAGGUAAUAUUCGCGGAAGUAAUGCGAAAGCAAUUCCCGCGGCGCCGUCGAUUUCAAACUGCAAAAAAAAAAAAGUUCUUUAUCUGGAGCGUUUCCACAUCGGCGUCGCAGCUAUAGCGAACACACGUCACGGAUUCCGCCGAAAGAAUCGAUGUUCAAAUGCGUGGCAUUGACUAUUGCGUUACUCUGACAAGUACAUGACCCUGUCAAGUGAGUGGAUUCCUGACAAGUACGUUGCUGCCCUGACAAAUUCCUCACAAGUGUGUGUACCUGACAAAUUCCCGACGUGUGGCCCUUACAAGUACAUGUCCCUGACAAGUUAUUUGGCCAUUGACAAGUGAGUGACCUCUGACAAGUGAGUGGACCUGACAACAUGCCCCUGACAAGUGAGUGGACCCGACAAGUUCGUUGCUGCCCUGCCAAGCGAGUGACCCUGACAAGUACAUGGCCCCGCCAAGUUCAUCGAUGCCCUGACAAACAACAGUGACACAAAUAUUACGGCGUUCACCACGAACAUUGACCACACAGUGUUGUUGGCGUUGUCGCGAAAAGAUUUUCCAUCAAAGCACAAGCGCGAGGAGAAUGGACACAGACGUCAUGCCGAUGAGAAAUGUAUAUUUUAUUUUUAAAACCUUGAUUUUAUUGUUUACAUGACUUUGAUAAUGCAAACGUAGGUACCUUGUACGCUUGUGUUAUCGAUAUAAUGAGUUGUUUUUACGCUGAAAAAAU